rnacentral:rRNA from 1 species
AUUGAACGCUGGCGGCAGGCCUAACACAUGCAAGUCGAACGAGUGGCGGACGGGUGAGUAAUGUCUGGGAAACUGCCUGAUGGAGGGGGCUAACGACUGGAAAAGGUAGCUAAUAACGCAUACCAUCAGAUGGGCCCAGAUGGGAUUAGCUGGUUGGUGGGGUAACGGCUCACCAAGGCGACGAUCCCUAGCUGGUCUGAGAGGAUGACCAGCCCCCCUGGAUCUGAGCCCCGGUCCCUACUCCUACGGGAGGCAGCUGUGGGGAAUAUUGCACAAUGGGCGCCAGCCUGAUGCAGCCAUGCCGCAUGUAUGAAGAAGGCCUUCGGUUUGUAAAGUACUUUCAGCGGGGAGGCGUUACCCGCAGAAGAAGCACCGGCUAACUCCGUGCCAGCAGCCGCGGUAAUUC